AUGGCUCAACUCCAGCAGCUUGUGCCUGGUGAGACUGGGUUCUGUGGCCUGCUUUCCAGGGCUUCCGUGUAGUCUGGAAUCAGCUAAUGAGAACUGAGAUGAGCAGGAUUAUUUGCGUACAGAGUACAGCCAGCAAAAGACCCACCUGGAUUUUCCCAGCUUGGAUGAGUUGCUUUGUGACAGCCGUGUUUCUCUCCUGUGCACUUUGCUCGCCUAAGUUCCUACACAAACACUCCCCUCUUUCUUCACAGCUCUCAACAGGGAAGUAUGCCUUUCUGGAGCUAAAACAGGAGGGCACCACAAAGCACUGCAUGGAGGCAUCAGCAGACAGCCGAGGAGAGGGAAGAGAACGCCUCUUGUCACCUCUGAAGCCUUGAAGUUGUGUGUAGGUGCAUUAACCUGCAUUGGCUAUUCAACAACACACCAUUCACAUGGUAUAACAAUAAAAAAAAAAAAGUGCUAACACUCCACAGCCAGGAAGAAGGAAAACAUCUGAAGAUGGUAGGUAUUCACCCGCUAGCUCUCUGUCUUAUCAGGCUCCAUUUGCUUAACAGGGAAGUAUCCAAACAUUUAAGUAUGCAAAUGUGUAAAGCCAAAUGAGACAUCAUUUCAUUCUGUUAUUGUCUUACAGUGAAAGGGAGCAAAUGAGCAAGCCGAUGGACGGCUUCGUGCCAAUUAUCUUCACUACGUUGUCUUUUAUGCGAAGGUAUUGCCGAAAGCAAACCCCCACAUUCUAGCGGCAGCAGUAACAUGAAUAUUUUAGGGGCUGUGCGAUUUCUUUUGUGGGUUAUGGCUGGAAAUAAAAAUUUUAGGUUGCAAGUGCUUUGGCAAAUAUGUAAUAAACUGCCAAGGCUAAAA
ensembl:processed_transcript Gm27230 predicted gene 27230